UCUUUCUUUCUUUUUCUUUAUGCAGUACACAGUGUUCUGCAUGCCAGAAGAGGGCACCAGAUCUCAUUACAGAUGGUUGAGAGCCACCAUGUGGUUGCUGGGAACUGAACUCGGGACCUCUGGAAGAGCAGACAGUGCUCUUAAUCUCUGAGCCAUCUCUCCAGCCCCAUACCUCGUAUUUUCUACUUGAAUCUUAAAGUUGUUUACUUUUUAUGAAAGAAAAUCUAGACUGAGCCCUUUCCAGAGACCGUCCAAAGGAAGACCAGGUCGAUGUGCUUGAAGUCAGCAAAAGAACAGACAGCGCAGCCACCCCCUGCAAGCAUGAGCGUCAUUGUUUUGAAGAUUCAUCUGUUGGCAGCAGGUCCUUCCUGAGGCUUCUGUUCCCACCAUGCAGUCCCCAUCCCUAGGCCCAGGUGCAGCCUGCCAAGCAGAUCAACUAGGGACGAUGUCUCUUUCAUGCCCAGGCCUGCCUCCACCAGAUGACAGACCUGCAAAGAGUCUUGUACCCGACCGUGGCUUGUACCAGGCAGCUCCUAUUGGGCCUAACAGCCUGGUUUGUACCUGGCUCUUCAGGGAAUACUGAAAUGUCUGCAGUUAUUG
rnacentral:lncRNA from 1 species